UACGUAGGAGGCAAGCGUUAUCCGGAAUUACUGGGCGUAAAGCGCUCGUAGGCGGUCUGGCAGGUGCUUGGUGAAAGCCCCCGGCUCACCCGGGGAGGGUCCGAGCAAACCGUCAGACUUGAGGUAGGCAGAGGGCCGUGGAACGUCCGGGGGAGUGGUGGAAUGCGUAGAUCCCGGACGGAACACCAGAGGCGAAGGCGGCGGCCUGGGCCUGUCCUGACGCUGAGGAGCGAAAGUGUGGGGAGCGAACAGG
rnacentral:misc_RNA from 1 species